AGCGAACGCUGGCGGCAGGCUUAACACAUGCAAGUCGAACGCCCCGCAAGGGGAGUGGCAGACGGGUGAGUAACACGUGGGAACGUACCCUUUGGUUCGGAAUAACUUGGGGAAACUCAAGCUAAUACCGGAUAAGCCCUUAUGGGGAAAGGUUUACUGCCGAAGGAUCGGCCCGCGUCUGAUUAGCUAGUUGGUGAGGUAAUGGCUCACCAAGGCGACGAUCAGUAGCUGGUCUGAGAGGAUGAUCAGCCACACUGGGACUGAGACACGGCCCAGCCUCCUCCGGGAGGCAGCAGUGGGGAAUAUUGGACAAUGGGGGCAACCCUGAUCCAGCCAUGCCGCGUGAGUGAUGAAGGCCUUAGGGUUGUAAAGAUCUUUUACCCGGGACGACAAUGACUGUACCGGGAGAAUAAGCCCCGGCUAACUUCGUGCCAGCCGCCGCGGUAA
rnacentral:rRNA from 1 species